rnacentral:tRNA from 1 species
UGGUUUAGUUGGUAGAGCAUGGUGCUUGCAAUGCCAGGGUUGUGGGUUUGAUUCCCAU